CCUACGGGAGGCAGCAGUGGGGAAUAUUGGGCAAUGGGCGCAAGCCUGACCCAGCAAUGCCGCGUGAAUGAAGAAGGCUUUCGGGUUGUAAAGUUCUUUUCUCAGGGACGAAUGAAGUGACGGUACCUGAGGAAUAAGCCACGGCUAACUACGUGCCAGCCGCCGCGGUAAUACGUAGGGGGCAAGCGGUAUACGGAUUGAUUGGGUGUAAAGGGCGGGUAGGCGGGAGCGCAAGUCAGAUGUGAAAACUCAGGGCUCAACCCUGAGCCUGCAUCUGAAACUGGGAUUCUUGAGUGCUGUAGAGGCAAGCGGAAUUCCGUGUGUAGCGGUGAAAUGCGUAGAUAUAAGGAGGAACACCAGUGGCGAAGGCGGAUUGCUGGACAGUAACUGACGCUGAGGCGCGAAAGCGUGGGGAGCAAACAGGAUUAGAUACCCGAGUAGUC
rnacentral:rRNA from 1 species